GACUUGUUGAAAUGUUUUUCCUUUUUUCCUCUUUUGUCCCCUGGCACUGGGAUGGUGGUGGUCUGUGGGUGCUGUCUCAGGGUGCCCUUAGAAAAGGACAACUCAGAAGAGUUUCGUCAGCGAGAGCUGCGUGCGGCCCAGUUGGCUCGAGAGAUUGAAUCAAGCCCCCAGUACCGCCUACGGAUCGCCAUGGAGAACGACGAUGGGCGCACUGAAGAGGAGAAGCACAGUGCAGUCCAGCGGCAGGGCUCAGGGCGGGAGAGCCCCAGCUUGGCAUCCAGGGAGGGGAAGUAUAUCCCUCUGCCUCAACGAGUCCGGGAAGGUCCCCGGGGAGGAGUUCGAUGCAGCAGCUCUCGGGGCGGUCGGCCUGGCCUUAGCUCUUUGCCACCUCGUGGCCCUCACCAUCUGGACAACAGCAGCCCUGGCCCAGGUUCUGAGGCCCGUGGUAUCAAUGGAGGUGAGUUAUGAGGUGACUUUGAGGGGCAGGGCAGGGAAGGGGAUGCCAAGGAGGUGGGAGGGUAAUUGGAGGGGUUUGGGUGUGUUGGAAUGACGCUGCAUCUGUGGGAAUGUAAUAGGUCGUCUGCCUCCUGACAUUUUCUUCUC
rnacentral:sRNA from 1 species